GAUGAACGCUGGCGGCAUGCUUUACACAUGCAAGUCGGACGGGUAGUGGUGUUUCCAGUGGCGGACGGGGGAGUAACGCGUAAGAACCUGCUCUUGGUAGGGGAACAACAGCUGGAAACGGCUGCUAAUACUCCGUAGUCUGAGGAGCGAAAGGAGGAAUCCGCCCAAGGAGGGGCGCGCGUCUGCGUAGCUAGUUGGUGAGGUAAUAGCUUACCAAGGCCGUGAUCAGUAGCUGGUCCGAGAGGAUGAUCAGCCACACUGGGACUGAGACAAGGCCCAGACUCCUCCGGGAGGCAGCAGUGGGGAAUUUUCCGCAAUGGGCGACAGCCUGACGGAGCAAUGCCGCGUGGAGGUAAAAGGCCUACGGCUCAUGAACUUCUUUUCCUGGAGAAGAAACAACGGCGGUAUCUGGGGAAUACGCAUCGGCUAACUCUGUG
rnacentral:rRNA from 1 species